UGAAUACGAGACGCUACGGCGUCGAAGCAGUCUAUGUCAUACUUCCAAGAAAAGCUCGCAAUGUCAUAAACAAAUAAUGCCUGUACCAUAACCGACACAGGUGGGUAGGUAGAGUAUACUAAGGGGCGCGAGAUAACUCUCUCUAAGGAACUCGGCAAAAUGACUCCGUAACUUCGGGAGAAGGAGUGCCUUAUUUAUAAGGUUGCAAUAACAAGAUCCAAGCAACUGUUUAUCAAAAACACAGGUCUCCGCUAAGUCGUAAGACGAUGUAUGGGGGCUGACGCCUGCCCAGUGCCAGAAGGUUAAAGAAGUUGGUUAGCAUUCGCGAAGCUGAUAACUGAAGCCCUGGUGAACGGCGGCCGUAACUAUAACGGUCCUAAGGUAGCGAAAUUCCUUGUCGGGUAAGUUCCGACCCGCACGAAAGGCGUAAUGAUUUGGAUACUGUCUCGGAGAGGGGCUCGGUGAAAUAGACUUGUCUGUGAAGAUGCGGACUACCUGCACCUGGACAGAAAGACCCUAUGAAGCUUUACUGUAACUUGAAAUUGAAAUUGGACUUUAUUUGCGCAGCAUAGGUGGGAGGCGUUGAGAGUAUUCUUGCGGGAAUAUUGGAGCCAUCAGUGAGAUACCACUCUUGUAAUGUUAGAUUUCUAACUUUGGAUCAUUAUCCGGUCAAAGAACAGUUUCAGGCGGGCAGUUUGACUGGGGCGGUCGCCUCCCAAAUGGUAACGGAGGCGUACAAAGGUUUCCUCUGAACGGGUAGAAAUCGUAUCUAGAGUGCAAAGGCAUAAGGAAGCUUGACUGUGAGACCUACAAGUCGAGCAGGGACGAAAGUCGGUCUUAGUGAUCUGACGGUGCUGAGUGGAAAGGCCGUCACUCAACGGAUAAAAGUUACUCUAAGGAUAACAGGCUGAUCUCCCCCAAGAGUUCACAUCGACGGGGAGGUUUGGCACCUCGAUGUCGGCUCAUCGCAUCCUGGGGCGGUAGUACGUCCCAAGGGUUGGGCUGUUCGCCCACGAAAGCGGUACGCGAGCUGGGUUCAGAACGUCGUGAGACAGUUCGGUCCAUAUCCGGUGUAGGCGUUAGAAUAUUGAGAGGAGCCUUCUUUAGUACGAGAGGACCGAGAAGGACAUACCUCUGGUGUACCAGUUAUCGUGCCAACGGUAAACGCUGGGUAACUAUGUAUGGAGAGGAUAACCGCUGAAAGCAUCUAAGUGGGAGGCCCACCUCAAGAUAAG
rnacentral:rRNA from 1 species